UCCGCGGUAGCCCAGUUGGUUAGGGCGUCGGCGAUACUGAUGGCAAAGGUCGCAGGUUCAAAUCCUGCCUGCGGAG